CUGAUCCAGGUAUGUUCAGCUUCCACAUUCAGACCAAGAGGAUCUGAAAUGGGCGGGGCCAAUGAAAUAAUAACAG